rnacentral:rRNA from 1 species
UAAUGAAUAUUCGGCAAUGCGCGCAAGCGUGACCGAGCGACGCCGCGUGGGUGAAGAAGGCCUUCGGGUUGUAAAGCCCUUUUGCGCCCCGGGAAUGAGCCGUAGUUAACACCUGCGGUGAUGACCAGGACGCGAAUAAGCUCCGGCUAACUCCGUGCCAGCAGCCGCGGUAAAACGGAGGGAGCAAACGUUGUUCGGAAUUACUGGGCAUAAAGGGCGCGUAGGCGGCGCGGUAAGUGAGAUGUGAAAUCUUUCGGCUUAACCGGAAAAGCGCAUCUUAGACUGCCGUGCUUGAGUGCGGUAGAGGUGAGUGGAACUCUAGGUGGAGCGGUGAAAUGCGUUGAUAUCUAGAGGAACACCGGAGGCGAAGGCGACUCACUGGGCCGUUUCUGACGCUGAGGCGCGAAAGCUAGGGGAGCAAACA